rnacentral:rRNA from 1 species
GGGUUGUGAGGUUAAGCGACUAAGCGUACACGGUGGAUGCCCUGGCAGUCAGAGGCGAUGAAGGACGUGCUAAUCUGCGAUAAGCGUCGGUGAGGUGAUAUGAACCGUUAUAACCGGCGAUUUCCGAAUGGGGAAACCCAGUGUGUUUCGACACACUAUCAUUAACUGAAUCCAUAGGUUAAUGAGGCGAACCGGGGGAACUGAAACAUCUAAGUACCCCGAGGAAAAGAAAUCAACCGAGAUUCCCCCAGUAGCGGCGAGCGAACGGGGAGGAGCCCAGAGCCUGAAUCAGUGUGUGUGUUAGUGGAAGCGUCUGGAAAGGCGCGCGAUACAGGGUGACAGCCCCGUACACAAAAAUGCACAUAUUGUGAGCUCGAUGAGUAGGGCGGGACACGUGGUAUCCUGUCUGAAUAUGGGGGGACCAUCCUCCAAGGCUAAAUACUCCUGACUGACCGAUAGUGAACCAGUACCGUGAGGGAAAGGCGAAAAGAACCCCGGCGAGGGGAGUGAAAAAGAACCUGAAACCGUGUACGUACAAGCAGUGGGAGCCUCUUAAUGGGGUGACUGCGUACCUUUUGUAUAAUGGGUCAGCGACUUAUAUUCUGUAGCAAGGUUAACCGAAUAGGGGAGCCGAAGGGAAACCGAGUCUUAACUGGGCGUUAAGUUGCAGGGUAUAGACCCGAAACCCGGUGAUCUAGCCAUGGGCAGGUUGAAGGUUGGGUAACACUAACUGGAGGACCGAACCGACUAAUGUUGAAAAAUUAGCGGAUGACUUGUGGCUGGGGGUGAAAGGCCAAUCAAACCGGGAGAUAGCUGGUUCUCCCCGAAAGCUAUUUAGGUAGCGCCUCGUGAAUUCAUCUCCGGGGGUAGAGCACUGUUUCGGCAAGGGGGUCAUCCCGACUUACCAACCCGAUGCAAACUGCGAAUACCGGAGAAUGUUAUCACGGGAGACACACGGCGGGUGCUAACGUCCGUCGUGAAGAGGGAAACAACCCAGACCGCCAGCUAAGGUCCCAAAGUCAUGGUUAAGUGGGAAACGAUGUGGGAAGGCCCAGACAGCCAGGAUGUUGGCUUAGAAGCAGCCAUCAUUUAAAGAAAGCGUAAUAGCUCACUGGUCGAGUCGGCCUGCGCGGAAGAUGUAACGGGGCUAAACCAUGCACCGAAGCUGCGGCAGCGACACUAUGUGUUGUUGGGUAGGGGAGCGUUCUGUAAGCCUGUGAAGGUGGCCUGUGAGGGUUGCUGGAGGUAUCAGAAGUGCGAAUGCUGACAUAAGUAACGAUAAAGCGGGUGAAAAGCCCGCUCGCCGGAAGACCAAGGGUUCCUGUCCAACGUUAAUCGGGCAGGGUGAGUCGACCCCUAAGGCGAGGCCGAAAGGCGUAGUCGAUGGGAAACAGGUUAAUAUUCCUGUACUUGGUGUUACUGCGAAGGGGGGACGGAGAAGGCUAUGUUGGCCGGGCGACGGUUGUCCCGGUUUAAGCGUGUAGGCUGGUUUUCCAGGCAAAUCCGGAAAAUCAAGGCUGAGGCGUGAUGACGAGGCACUACGGUGCUGAAGCGACAAAUGCCCUGCUUCCAGGAAAAGCCUCUAAGCAUCAGGUAACAUCAAAUCGUACCCCAAACCGACACAGGUGGUCAGGUAGAGAAUACCAAGGCGCUUGAGAGAACUCGGGUGAAGGAACUAGGCAAAAUGGUGCCGUAACUUCGGGAGAAGGCACGCUGAUAUGUAGGUGAAGCGACUUGCUCGUGGAGCUGAAAUCAGUCGAAGAUACCAGCUGGCUGCAACUGUUUAUUAAAAACACAGCACUGUGCAAACACGAAAGUGGACGUAUACGGUGUGACGCCUGCCCGGUGCCGGAAGGUUAAUUGAUGGGGUUAGCGGUAACGCGAAGCUCUUGAUCGAAGCCCCGGUAAACGGCGGCCGUAACUAUAACGGUCCUAAGGUAGCGAAAUUCCUUGUCGGGUAAGUUCCGACCUGCACGAAUGGCGUAAUGAUGGCCAGGCUGUCUCCACCCGAGACUCAGUGAAAUUGAACUCGCUGUGAAGAUGCAGUGUACCCGCGGCAAGACGGAAAGACCCCGUGAACCUUUACUAUAGCUUGACACUGAACAUUGAGCCUUGAUGUGUAGGAUAGGUGGGAGGCUUUGAAGUGUGGACGCCAGUCUGCAUGGAGCCGACCUUGAAAUACCACCCUUUAAUGUUUGAUGUUCUAACGUGGGCCCCUUACCGGGGUUGCGGACAGUGUCUGGUGGGUAGUUUGACUGGGGCGGUCUCCUCCUAAAGAGUAACGGAGGAGCACGAAGGUUGGCUAAUCCUGGUCGGACAUCAGGAGGUUAGUGCAAUGGCAUAAGCCAGCUUGACUGCGAGCGUGACGGCGCGAGCAGGUGCGAAAGCAGGUCAUAGUGAUCCGGUGGUUCUGAAUGGAAGGGCCAUCGCUCAACGGAUAAAAGGUACUCCGGGGAUAACAGGCUGAUACCGCCCAAGAGUUCAUAUCGACGGCGGUGUUUGGCACCUCGAUGUCGGCUCAUCACAUCCUGGGGCUGAAGUAGGUCCCAAGGGUAUGGCUGUUCGCCAUUUAAAGUGGUACGCGAGCUGGGUUUAGAACGUCGUGAGACAGUUCGGUCCCUAUCUGCCGUGGGCGCUGGAGAACUGAGGGGGGCUGCUCCUAGUACGAGAGGACCGGAGUGGACGCAUCACUGGUGUUCGGGUUGUCAUGCCAAUGGCACUGCCCGGUAGCUAAAUGCGGAAGAGAUAAGUGCUGAAAGCAUCUAAGCACGAAACUUGCCCCGAGAUGAGUUCUCCCUGACUCCUUGAGAGUCCUGAAGGAACGUUGAAGACGACGACGUUGAUAGGCCGGGUGUGUAAGCGCAGCGAUGCGUUGAGCUAACCGGUACUAAUGAACCGUGAGGCUUAACCUUACAACGCCGAAG